rnacentral:rRNA from 1 species
GAACGCUGGCGGCAGGCCUAACACAUGCAAGUCGAACGGUAACAGGAAGCAGCUUGCUGCUUYGCUGACGAGUGGCGGACGGGUGAGUAAUGUCUGGGAAACUGCCUGAUGGAGGGGGAUAACUACUGGAAACGGUGGCUAAUACCGCAUAACGUCGCAAGACCAAAGAGGGGGACCUUCGGGCCUCUUGCCAUCAGAUGUGCCCAGAUGGGAUUAGCUWGUUGGUGAGGUAACGGCUCACCAAGGCGACGAUCCCUAGCUGGUCUGAGAGGAUGACCAGCCACACUGGAACUGAGACACGGUCCAGACUCCUACGGGAGGCAGCAGUGGGGAAUAUUGCACAAUGGGCGCAAGCCUGAUGCAGCCAUGCCGCGUGUAUGAAGAAGGCCUUCGGGUUGUAAAGUACUUUCAGCGGGGAGGAAGGUGUUGUGGUUAAUAACCGCAGCAAUUGACGUUACCCGCAGAAGAAGCACCGGCUAACUCC